UACGUAGGGUGCGAGCGUUGUCCGGAAUUAUUGGGCGUAAAGGGCUCGUAGGCGGUCUGUCGCGCCGGGAGUGAAAACUCGGGGGCUUAACCCCCGAGCCUGCAGUGGAUACGGGCAGACUAGAGGUAGGUAGGGGAGAAUGGAAUUCCCGGUGUAGCGGUGAAAUGCGCAGAUAUCGGGAGGAACACCGGUGGCGAAGGCGGUUCUCUGGGCCGUAACUGACGCUGAGGAGCGAAAGCGUGGGGAGCGAACAGG
rnacentral:rRNA from 1 species